GAUGACAAAAACAUUGUUUGGUUAAUUGUGAGUGUCAGUAUGCAAUUAGUGGAGAGAAAAGGGGAGGAGACAUGAGAGAUGGUGGGUAAAUAAAGAGGGACAUGGGAGCAGACUAAUAUCACAAUGUCUUCACGUGAAAGAGUGUCAGUUUAUGGUUAUCAGGUACUUUUGAGGUCAAGACUCUGUCAACUUUGAUUGUUUUCCCUUUUGGUGCGAAAUUCAAAGGUACAUUUCCCUUAAAAUAAAUCUAUAUGAAUCUGAGUCGGAUCCUAUUUUGAAACUUUGUUAUUCUCUCCAGGGAUUUAAAGUUUGUUUAAAUAUAGAUAAUGUAGCUUUGGAAGGAAUCUGUAAUUUUUUAUUUAAUUUUGUUAGACUAAA